rnacentral:rRNA from 1 species
ACGAAUAAUGAAUGGUCCAGGGUAGGCAAAAACUAAUAGCUCUUUUAUGAUUAUGUGAUAGGUGGUGCAUGGCCGUUCUUAGUUCGUGGAGUGAUCUGUCUGCUUAAUUGCGUUUCAAAACAACUGAUACACAGAGUCUUGGCACAGUUCAGUUUAAUGGCGUCGAGUAUCUUUGAUUUCGACAGUAGUCCAACUCGGUUCGCCAGGGUCUCUUUUGAACGCAACGGACGUGAUCGCAACCCUUUGUUGAGUGAUGUCAGCACUCUACGUCUAUCCUAGCUCGUUGAUCGCAAGUGAGAGUUGGGUGGGCAAACUCAGGGGACAGCUUCAACUAUUCUUCUUCAAACUAGAGGAAGGUUGCGGCAAUAACAGGUCUGUGAUGCCCUCAGAUGUUCUAGGCUGCACACGUGCUACAUUGAUCAGCACAAUGCGAUACAUUUCGAAAGGAAACAUCGGUUUUAAGGUAACGUCGAUUGCCUACCGAUAGCACCUGGUCCCCAGUGGACUGGGCAAUCUCUUCUAAAUGCUGGUAAGGUACCCACACUCGAGCUAUUUAAUCACACGCGGGAGGCACACACGG